ACGAAGGGGGCUAGCGUUGUUCGGAUUUACUGGGCGUAAAGCGCGUGUAGGCGGGCUGGAAAGUUGGGGGUGAAAUCCCGAGGCUCAACCUCGGAACUGCCUCCAAAACUUCCAGCCUGGACUCAAGCAGAGGCAAGUGGAAUUGCGAGUGUAGAGGUGAAAUUCGUAGAUAUUCGCAGGAACACCAGUGGCGAAGGCGACUUGCUGGGCUUGUGGUGACGCUGAGACGCGAAAGCGUGGGGAGCAAACAGGA
rnacentral:rRNA from 1 species